rnacentral:rRNA from 1 species
AUUGAACGCUGGCGGCAUGCUUUACACAUGCAAGUCGAACGGUAACAGGCCGCAAGGUGCUGACGAGUGGCGAACGGGUGAGUAAUGCAUCGGAACGUGCCCAGUCGUGGGGGAUAACGCAGCGAAAGCUGCGCUAAUACCGCAUACGAUCUGUGGAUGAAAGCGGGGGACCGUAAGGCCUCGCGCGAUUGGAGCGGCCGAUGUCAGAUUAGGUAGUUGGUGGGGUAAAGGGUCACCAAGCCAACGAUCUGUAGCUGGUCUGAGAGGACGACCAGCCACACUGGGACUGAGACACGGCCCAGACUCCUACGGGAGGCAGCAGUGGGGAAUUUUGGACAAUGGGCGCAAGCCUGAUCCAGCAAUGCCACGUGCAGGAAGAAGGCCUUCGGGUUGUAAACUGCUUUUGUACGGAACGAAAAGGCUCUGGUUAAUACCUGGGGCUCAUGACGGUACCGUAAGAAUAAGCACCGGCUAACUACGUGCCAGCAGCCGCAGUAACAC